rnacentral:rRNA from 1 species
UACGGAGGGUGCGAGCGUUGUCCGGAAUCACUGGGCGUAAAGGGCGCGUAGGCGGCGCGGGUAGUCAUCGGUGAAAGUUCAGGGCUCAACUCUGAAUCGGCCGGUGAUACUCCCGUGCUCGAGCACUGUAGAGGCAGGUGGAAUUCCGGGUGUAGCGGUGGAAUGCGUAGAUAUCGAGAGGAACACCUGCGGCGAAGGCGGGUUGCUGGGCCGACACUGACGCUGAGGCGCGAAAGCCAGGGGAGCGAACGGG